GGGGUUGUGGCUCAGUGGUAGAGCACUUGCCUAGCAUGUGUGAGGCCCUGGGUUCAAUACUCAGCACCA
rnacentral:tRNA from 1 species